rnacentral:rRNA from 1 species
AUUGAACGCUGGCUGCAGGCCUAACACAUGCAAGUCGAACGAGUGGCGGACGGGUGAGUAAUGUCUGGGAAACUGCCCGAUGUAGGGGGAUAACUACUGGAAACGGUAGCUAAUACCGCCUACCAUCGGAUGUGCCCAUAGGGGAUUGGCUAGUAGGUGGGGUAACGGCUCACCUGGGCGACGAUCCCUAGCUGGUCGUAGAGGAUGACCAGCCACACUGGAACUGAGACACGGUCCAGACUCCUACGGGAGGCAGCAGUGGGGAAUAUUGCACAAUGGGCGCAAGCCUGAUGCAGCCAUGCCGCGUGUAUGAAGAAGGCCUUCGGGUUGUAAAGUACUUUCAGCGAGGAGGCGUUACUCGCAGAAGAAGCAUCGGCUAACUCCGUGCCAGCCGCCGCGGUAAUUC